rnacentral:rRNA from 1 species
UGGGGAAUUGUUCGCAAUGGGCGCAAGCCUGACGACGCAACGCCGCGUGGAGGAUGAAGAUCUUCGGGUCGUAAACUCCUUUCGAUCGAGACGAAUGAUCCCUGGGUGAACAAUCCAGGGAAAUGACGGUACCGAGAGAAGAAGCCCCGGCUAACUCCGUGCCAGCAGCCGCGGUAAUACGGGGGGGGCAAGCGUUGUUCGGAAUUACUGGGCGUAAAGGGCUUGUAGGUGGCCAACUAAGUCAGACGUGAAAUCCCUCGGCUUAACCGGGGAACUGCGUCUGAUACUGGAUGGCUAGAGUGUGGGAGAGGGAUGCGGAAUUCCAGGUGUAGCGGUGAAAUGCGUAGAUAUCUGGAGGAACACCGGUGGCGAAGGCGGCAUCCUGGACCACGACUGACACUGAAAAGCGAAAGCCAGGGGAGCAAACGGGAUUAGAUACCCCCGUAGUCC